UGCUUACACAUGCAAGNNNNNAACGAGAACGGNAUCUAGCUUGCUAGAGUGUCAGCUAAGUGGCGGACGGGUGAGUAAUGUAUAGCUAACGUGCCCCUUGGAGAGGGAUAACAGUUGGAAACGACUGCUAAUACCUCAUACUCCUUCUGUAUUAAUUACAGUUGGGAAAUGUUUUUUCGCCAAGGGAUCGGGCUAUAUGGUAUCAGGUAGUUGGUGGGGUAAGAGCCUACCAAGCCAAUGACGCCUAGCUGGUCUGAGAGGAUGAUCAGCCACACUGGAACUGAGACACGGUCCAGACUCCUACGGGAGGCAGCAGUGGGGAAUAUUGCACAAUGGAGGAAACUCUGAUGCAGCAACGCCGCGUGGAGGAUGACGCAUUUCGGUGUGUAAACUCCUUUUAUAUGGGAAGAUAAUGACGGUACCAUAUGAAUAAGCACCGGCUAACUNCGUGCCAGCAGCCGCGGUAAUACNGAGGGUGCAAGCGUUACUCGGAAUCACUGGGCGUAAAGCGCGCGCAGGCGGCCUUUUUAGUUGGAUGNGAAAGCCUAUGGCUCAAC
rnacentral:rRNA from 1 species